AUGCAUCUCUAUUCCUACUUCUCAUGGCAAGGAAUAGAAAAUACAAUGCGGAAAUUAAACCAGAAUCAGAAUAAUACCAAACGAACACAAAGUUCGUUACAAGCAAGCAAAACAAAGAAACCCGGAAAACUUCGCGAAAGCUUCACCAAUCAAAGAGUCAAAAAUGAAAUGCUCGAAAUAAACGUCGAAGCAUCAUCGAUGUGA